AUGACGGCGGAACCUCUCGCGCCGGACGCAAAGCCUCCCCGCCGCAGGAGGAAGACCUCCACUUUCUGGUGGUGCUUCCUGGGCCUCUGCGCAGAGGCCCUUUUGUUCCUGCUGUCUACUUUAUCUGAUGCUUGUGAACUACCACCACCAUUUGAAGCUAUGGAACUCAAGGGUGUGCCUAAACUCUAUUAUGAGGUUGGAGAGACAAUAGAAUAUAAGUGUAAAAAAGGAUACCUAUAUAUGAUUCCAUUCCCCAUGUUUGCUACCUGUGAACCAAAUCACACAUGGGUCCCUAUUUCAGAUGACGGUUGUCUUAAAGUAGAAUGUUCAACAUUAAAGAGCCCUUCAUUUGGCAGUGUACACUACAUGGAUGGCAGACGUUCAUGGGGUAAUCGAGCUCAAUUUUCUUGUGUGGAGGGUUAUUACUUAAUUGGUAUGUCAGUUCUACACUGUGUGCUUAAAGGUGAUGCUGAUGCACACUGGGAUGGUCCUCCCCCACGUUGUGAAAAAAUCUCUUGUGUGCCACCUCCAAAAAUAAAAAAUGGGACACACACCUUUAGUGAUAUUGAUGUAUUCAGAUACCGUGAAGCAGUGAUUUACAGUUGUGAUCCUAUCUCAGGGCCAGAUAAGUUUUCCCUUAUUGGAAUGAGCAUGCUGAUCUGUACUGGCCAUAACACCUGGAGCAGCCAGGCUCCAGAGUGUAAAGUGGUAAAAUGUCCAUUUCCACUACUACAAAACGGAAGACAGAUAGCAGGAUUUGAAAAGAAAUUUUCCUAUGAAGCAACAGUGACAUUUGAAUGUGAGGAGGGUUUCUACAUGAGGGGCAGGGACACGGUGAUCUGCAAUGCUAACAGCACUUGGGAGCCUCCAAUCCCAAUAUGUAUUAAAGGUCCUAAGCCUACUUAUCCCACCAAGCCUCCAGUUUACAAUUACCCAGGAUAUCCUAGUCCCCGUGAAGGAAUAUUUGGCCAAGAAUUAGAUGCAUGGAUUAUUGCUCUGAUUGUUGUUACUUCAAUUGUUGGACUUGUUGUAAUUUGUCUCAUCAUACUCAGAUAUCUUGAGUACAGGAAGAAAGGGAAAGCAGAGCUGAAAGCUAAGCAUUCCACUCACCAGAAAAAGUCAGCUUCAACCAUACAAUCAGAGAAAACUCCAUCAAUGAUACAAACUCCAAGGAGCAAUUUGUCUGCUGCCUCUAAUAUGACUGCAGCUGCAGGAAAAUGAGAAGCUCCAUGUGUGGAAGUCACUACUGUUCCAUCUUUGAAAAUUGGUUCUUCAAGUCUGGCAAAAGUAAAAUUAUAUAUUUGAAGGAACUUCAUUUAUGCCCCUCCAGCUUACCAAGGGUUCAACACAGCCCUGAGUGCCCGUGUCCAGAG